UCUGCCAAGGAGGAGACUCAUAUUGGCAGCUACAUGCUCCUCAAGACCAUUGCCAAGGGAACCUUUGCCAAGGUGAAGUUGGCCUGGUACAUCCCGACUGGCACACAGGUGGCUGCAAAGGUCAUUUACAAGUGUGGAACUCCAGCCUCCAGAGACUAUCUCAUGAAGACAUCAUGAAGCCCGAGUGGCCAUGCUCCCAGGCUGUCCUUCCACAGCCACACAGCCCAUCAAGGCAUUCUGCUCAACGAAGACUUUUCCUUCCUCUGAAAGAGACUUUCCUGCUAAACAACUUUUUUCCUUACUACAAUCUGAUUGCAGUAAGCAAGGAUGGCAUAACAUAACCAUCCAAAUAAGUUGAAAACUUUUGCCCACACAAAAACCUGCACACUGAUUCAUAUUUGCCAACACUUGGAAGCAACCAAGAUGUCCUUCAACAGAUGAAUAGAUAAACAAAACGUGGCACAUCCAGACAAUGGAAUAUGAUACAGCAGGAAAAAGAAAUGAGCUCCGGACAUUCUGGAAAGGUAAAACUACAGAGAUCAUAAAAAGAUCAUCUCUUUGAAGUCUGGGUAUUUGGUAAAAACAAAUCAGUGGUUAACAGGGGCUUGGAUGGGGGAGGGAGGGAUGAAUAGGUGGUGCACAGAGGAUUUUUAGGGUAGUGAAAUGAUUCUGUUUGAGAGUGGAAUGGUGGAUACAUGGCAUUAUGCAUUUGUCAAGAUCCAUGGGACUGUAUAUCACAGAGCGAAUCCUAAUGUGAACUAUGGACUUUAGUUAAUAAAAGUGUUCCUGUAUUGGUGCGUCCGUUUUAGCAGGUACACCCCACUGAUGCCACAUGUUCCUAGUGCUGAGAAGAGACCCUGCUCAGGGUAUGCUCUGACUUUUUUCCUCAGCAUGGUCAGGCUUCCCUUACCCCUUUCUGCCACCCACCUGCCCAUCUGCUGCUGAGGUGGCUGGUGGCCCCUUUGUUACUCACAUAACUGUUUGUGGGGCCUUCACGUGUUUUUACAGAAGCCCAGUGACACCCCAAACUGAGGG
rnacentral:lncRNA from 1 species